UCGUUUUCAUGGUAGUUUGUCAGCGGCUAGUUCAUUCAAGUUAUCCCCUCGGUUAUUUAUUACAAACGCGGAAGAAUUAUUUUAGGAAUAUCUAUUAAAGUGUUUUCGUUUUGUUCAAGUGCUACUGGGGAAAAAGAAGGGCCCUACCAACACUGGGAUGAGGAGAGUUUUGAUGGUUUUCAGCAUUAUGAAUCCUUUGUCCUGCCCAUCAGCCUCUUCUCCCUGAUCGUGUGUUGUUGCUGCGCUUCCCACCUUUCUUCAAACUCUACUGUUGACUUUCUCAAAGUUGUUGGGCACAGCCAACUAAGGACACUGGGAUCACUGACAUUUGGGGAUGUGGCUGUGGCCUUUACCCAGAUUGAAUGGAGACACCUGGAUUCCGCUCAGAGGGCCAUGCACAGAGAUGUGAUGCUGGAAAUCUAUGGGAAUCUGGUGUCCGUGGGUAAGGAUGUCUUUGUCUUUGACUCAAAAUUGGUCUACUGGGCAACUGUGCAUUUUCACAGGGUAAGUGAUUUGGGGUAUUUAAAAAUCUUAAAUGGCAGGGUUUUUUUGUUUGUUGUAUUUUUUUUUAGCAUGGGCUUAGACGCUGGAGUUUACGCCCCUUCUACCCCUCAGAAAGGUCAGAGCCUUACAGAGUUUAAGAUGGGAAGCUUUGUGUGCAGUCCAGCCCAGUUCUCUAAAUUUUCCAUGUCAGGAUUCAUCUGCCACCAACAGGAGUUUCUCUUCCUCAAGGAGGUCCAGUUUUCUAACUGACUUUCCCUCCUACAUUUCUAUGACUGCGUGAUAUGGACAUCCUUGAUACCACCGUCUAGGCCUCCCUGACAUACCCAUGCUCCUUAUAGACCCCCAAGUUGAGACUGAGGUCUGGGAUAAUUCCUUGUGCUCAUAACCAUGGUCACAUUCCUUUUCUUUCUCUAUGAACAGGGCUUCUCUCUUCCAAACCCAAACUAAUCACCCAGUUGGAGCAGGGGGCAGAGCUAUGGGGAAGUACAGGAAGUCCCAUCAGGUACUUGUGUAGUCCAGGAGUACUGGUUUGAAACAGAGUUGUCGGCCCUAAAACAAAAUGUUUCUGAUGGAUCUGAUCAGGAGGAGUGAAUAAAAAGUGUCAUGAUGGAAAGAGGCCUGGAUUGGGAGGACAGAAGUUCCACAGAGAAGAUGCACUAUAAAUGUGAGGAAUGUGGGAAAGUCUUCAAAUAUAAUUCCUCCUUUAUUAGCCACCAGAGAAAUCAUACUGGUGAGAAACCCCAUAAAUAUAAAGAAUGUGGGUUAGCUUUUAUGAGCAGCUCAUCCCUUUUAAAUCAUCAUAAAAUUCACCUAGGCAAGCAACUUUAUAGCUGUAUUGAAUGUGGGAAAUUCCUCAAGAAGCAUUCAAAGUUUGUUAAUCAUCAGAAAAUUCAUUCUAGAGAGAAACUCCAUAAAUGCAAUGAAUGUGGGAAAGCUUUCAGAAAGAACUCUAUCCUUUUAAGUCAUCAGAGAAUUCAUACUGGUCAGAAACCCUACAAAUGUAAUAACUGUGGGAAAGGCUUUGCUCAGAAUGCAGCCCUUACUCGUCAUGAGUGAAUACAUAGUGGAGAGAAACCUUUUAAAUGUAAAGAAUGUGGGAAAGCUUUCAGGGAUAACUCAACUGUGUUGGAACAUCAGAAAAUCCAUACUGAUGAGAAACCAUAUCAGUGUAAUGAAUGUGGAAAAGCCUUUAGGAAGCUCUCAACUCUUAUUAGUCAUCAAAGAAUGCAUACAGGAGAGAAACCCUAUCACAGUAAAUGUGGAAAAUCUUUCAAGUAUAGGCUCAUCCUUUGCCAGACAUCAGAAAACUCAUAGUGGAAAUAAACUCUAUCAAUGUAAUGACUGUGGGAAAGCCUUUGUGAAGAGCUCAACCCUUAUUGGACAUCAGAGAAUUCCUACUGGAGAAAAACCCUGUCAUUGUAAGAAAUGUGGGAAAUCCUUCAAACAUAGCUGUGGCCUUGUUGAACAUCAGAGAAUCGAUACUGGAGAAAAACUUUAUGAAUGUAAUGAAUGUGGGAAAGCUUUUCCCUGGAGUUCAGCCCUUAAACAACAUAAGAAAAUUCAUAACAAAGAAAGAGCAAUCAAAUGUAGUUAGUGUGGUAAAUCAUGCAGAAAUAGUUUAUUCAUUUUGACCAUCAAAGAGGAGACAUUCAAUAAAUUACACAUUUAACAAAAGUAUUCUGUGCACCGCUAUCCUGAAGAACUUCUCACUUGUGAGAAGGUCAUUGUAGUAUGGUUUGUACUAGUGAAAUAUUUGAAGAACCUAAAUGUAUAUCAAUAUGGAAAUAGUUACUGUAGAAUCCUGUGUAGCAAAUGACAGAAUGAGGUAGAGCUCUAUAUAUGGCCAUAGAAAUAUCCUGAUGAUACCUUGUUAAGUUAAAAAAGCAAGUUGCAGAAAAUUUAUAUAUUGUGGUCUUAUUUAUAUUUUAAAGAAU